GAGUUUGAUCAUGCUCAGGAUGAACGCCUGGCGGCGUGCUUAUUACAUGCAAGUCGAGCCGACCAGAUAGGAGCUUGCUCCUUGAAGUUAGCGCCGACGGGUGAGUACCACGUGGGUAACCUACCUAUAAGACUGGGAUAACUUCGGAAACCGGAGCUAAUACCGGAUAACAUUUAGAACCGCAUGGUUCUAAAGUGAAAGAUGGUUUUGCUAUCACUUAUAGAUGGACCCGCGCCGUAUUAGCUAGUUGGUAAGGUAACGGCUUACCAAGGCGACGAUACGUAGCCGACCUGAGAGGGUGAUCGGCCACACUGGAACUGAGACACGGUCCAGACUCCUACGGGAGGCAGCAGUAGGGAAUCUUCCGCAAUGGGCGAAAGCCUGACGGAGCAACGCCGCGUGAGUGAUGAAGGGUUUCGGCUCGUAAAACUCUGUUAUUAGGGAAGAACAAAUGUGUAAGUAACUGUGCACAUCUUGACGGUACCUAAUCAGAAAGCCACGGCUAACUACGUGCCAGCAGCCGCGGUAAUACGUAGGUGGCAAGCGUUAUCCGGAAUUAUUGGGCGUAAAGCGCGCGUAGGCGGUUUCUUAAGUCUGAUGUGAAAGCCCACGGCUCAACCGUGGAGGGUCAUUGGAAACUGGGAAACUUGAGUGCAGAAGAGGAAAGUGGAAUUCCAUGUGUAGCGGUGAAAUGCGCAGAGAUAUGGAGGAACACCAGUGGCGAAGGCGACUUUCUGGUCUGUAACUGACGCUGAUGCGAAAGCGUGGGGAUCAAACAGGAUUAGAUACCCUGGUAGUCCACGCCGUAAACGAUGAGUGCUAAGUGUUAGGGGGUUUCCGCCCCUUAGUGCUGCAGCUAACGCAUUAAGCACUCCGCCUGGGGAGUACGACCGCAAGGUUGAAACUCAAAGGAAUUGACGGGGACCCGCACAAGCGGUGGAGCAUGUGGUUUAAUUCGAAGCAACGCGAAGAACCUUACCAAAUCUUGACAUCCUUUGAAAACUCUAGAGAUAGAGCUUUCCCCUUCGGGGGACAAAGUGACAGGUGGUGCAUGGUUGUCGUCAGCUCGUGUCGUGAG
rnacentral:rRNA from 1 species